rnacentral:misc_RNA from 1 species
AACAAGGCGUACCUGCGGACCUGCGGAGGGAUCAUUAACGAGUGUGACCUACCCUUUUAAAAAAUGGGUGGUACCUCCCGUCCUUUGCGGGCCCCCUUCUUUUAUUAAGGGGGGGGCUUUUAAGACUUUCUGCUUCGGCGGGGUUAUUCCCGCCGGAACACCUUCAAAAAACUCUUGAUCAAAAAACUGUUCAGUCCGAGAAUUUUUGAAAAUUAAAACAAAACUUUCAACAACGGAUCU